UACGUAGGGUGCAAGCGUUGUCCGGAAUUAUUGGGCGUAAAGAGCUCGUAGGCGGUUUGUUGCGUCGGCUGUGAAAUCCCGAGGCUCAACCUCGGGUCUGCAGUCGAUACGAGCAAACUAGAGUACUGCAGGGGAGACUGGAAUUCCUGGUGUAGCGGCGAAAUGCGCAGAUAUCAGGAGGAACACCGGUGGCGAAGGCGGUUCUCUGGGCAUUACCUGACGCUGAGGAGCGAAAGUGUGGGGAGCGAACAGG
rnacentral:rRNA from 1 species